UACGAAGGGGGCUAGCGUUGCUCGGAAUCACUGGGCGUAAAGCGCACGUAGGCGGCUUUCUAAGUCAGGGGUGAAAUCCUGGAGCUCAACUCCAGAACUGCCUUUGAUACUGGAGAGCUUGAGUCCGGAAGAGGUGAGUGGAACUCCGAGUGUAGAGGUGAAAUUCGUAGAUAUUCGGAAGAACACCAGUGGCGAAGGCGGCUCACUGGUCCGGUACUGACGCUGAUGCACGAAAGCGUGGGGAGCAAACAGG
rnacentral:rRNA from 1 species